rnacentral:rRNA from 1 species
GGGCGCACGGUGGAUGCCUUGGCACUAGGAGCCGAUGAAGGACGGGACGAACACCGAUAUGCUUCGGGGAGCUGUAAGCAAGCUUUGAUCCGGAGAUUUCCGAAUGGGGAAACCCACCACUCGUAAUGGAGUGGUAUCCAUAUCUGAAUUCAUAGGAUAUGAGAAGGCAGACCCGGGGAACUGAAACAUCUAAGUACCCGGAGGAAGAGAAAGCAAAUGCGAUUCCCUGAGUAGCGGCGAGCGAAACGGGAUUAGCCCAAACCAAGAGGCUUGCCUCUUGGGGUUGUAGGACACUCUGUACGGAGUUACAAAGGAACGAGGUAGAUGAAGAGGUCUGGAAAGGCCCGCCAUAGGAGGUAACAGCCCUGUAGUCAAAACUUCGUUCUCUCCUGAGUGGAUCCUGAGUACGGCGGAACACGUGAAAUUCCGUCGGAAUCCGGGAGGACCAUCUCCCAAGGCUAAAUACUCCCUAGUGACCGAUAGUGAACCAGUACCGUGAGGGAAAGGUGAAAAUCACCCCGGAAGGGGAGUGAAAGAGAUCCUGAAACCGUGUGCCUACAAGUAGUCAGAGCCCGUUAACGGGUGAUGGCGUGCCUUUUGUAGAAUGAACCGGCGAGUUACGAUCCCGUGCAAGGUUAAGCAGAAGAUGCGGAGCCGCAGCGAAAGCGAGUCUGAAUAGGGCGCAUGAGUACGUGGUCGUAGACCCGAAACCAGGUGAUCUACCCAUGUCCAGGGUGAAGUUCAGGUAACACUGAAUGGAGGCCCGAACCCACGCACGUUGAAAAGUGCGGGGAUGAGGUGUGGGUAGGGGUGAAAUGCCAAUCGAACCUGGAGAUAGCUGGUUCUCUCCGAAAUAGCUUUAGGGCUAGCCUCAAGGUAAGAGUCUUGGAGGUAGAGCACUGAUUGGACUAGGGGCCCCUACCGGGUUACCGAAUUCAGUCAAACUCCGAAUGCCAAUGACUUAUCCUUGGGAGUCAGACUGCGAGUGAUAAGAUCCGUAGUCGAAAGGGAAACAGCCCAGACCGCCAGCUAAGGUCCCAAAGUAUACGUUAAGUGGAAAAGGAUGUGGAGUUGCUUAGACAACCAGGAUGUUGGCUUAGAAGCAGCCACCAUUUAAAGAGUGCGUAAUAGCUCACUGGUCGAGUGACUCUGCGCCGAAAAUGUACCGGGGCUAAACGUAUCACCGAAGCUGCGGACUGUUCUUCGAACAGUGGUAGGAGAGCGUUCUAAGGGCUGUGAAGCCAGACCGGAAGGACUGGUGGAGCGCUUAGAAGUGAGAAUGCCGGUAUGAGUAGCGAAAGAGGGGUGAGAAUCCCCUCCACCGAAUGCCUAAGGUUUCCUGAGGAAGGCUCGUCCGCUCAGGGUUAGUCGGGACCUAAGCCGAGGCCGAAAGGCGUAGGCGAUGGACAACAGGUUGAUAUUCCUGUACCACCUCCUCACCAUUUGAGCAAUGGGGGGACGCAGGAGGAUAGGGUAAGCGCGGUAUUGGAUAUCCGCGUCCAAGCAGUUAGGC